AUUGAACGCUGGCGGCAGGCCUAACCCAUGCAAGUCGAACGAGUGGCGGACGGGUGAGUAAUGUCUGGGACACUGCCUGAUGGAGGGGGCUAACUACUGGUAACGGUAGCUAAUACCGCAUACCAUCGGAUGUGCCCAGAUGGGAUUAGCUAGUUGGUGGGGUAACGGCUCACCUAGGCGACGAUCCCUAGCUGGUCUGAGAGGAUGACCAGCAACACUGGAACGGAGACACGGUCCAGACUCCGGCGGGAGGCAGCAGUGGGGAAUAUUGCACAAUGGGCGCAAGCCUGAUGCAGCCAUGCCGCGUGUAUGAAGAAGGCCUUCGGGUUGUAAAGUACGUUCAGCGGGGAGGCGUUACCCGCAGAAGAAGCACCGGCUAACUCCGUGCCAGCAGCCGCGGUAAUUC
rnacentral:rRNA from 1 species